AAGCCCUGCCUUUGAACCUGGUGUGUCUUGUAGCUUCAUGGGCCAAGCAACAGUGCUAGAAUGUAUGGACUUGUAACUGGGGCUCUUCAGCUCUCAGCUGAACUGCCCUUUUAAAAACAAGGUACAUUU